GACGAACGCUGGCGGCGGGCCUAACACAUGCAAGUCGAACGGUAGCACAGAGAGCUUGCUCUCGGGUGACGAGCGGCGGACGGGUGAGUAACGUCUGGGAAACUGCCCGAUGGAGGGGGAUAACUACUGGAAACGGUAGCUAAUACCGCAUAACGUCGCAAGACCAAAGUGGGGGACCUUCGGGCCUCACACCAUCGGAUGUGCCCAGAUGGGAUUAGCUAGUAGGUGGGGUAAUGGCUCACCUAGGCGACGAUCCCUAGCUGGUCUGAGAGGAUGACCAGCCACACUGGAACUGAGACACGGUCCAGAGUCCUACGGGAGGCAGCAGUGGGGAAUAUUGCACAAUGGGCGAAAGCCUGAUGCAGCCAUGCCGCGUGUAUGAAGAAGGCCUUCGGGUUGUAAAGUACUUUCAGCGGGGAGGAAGGCGGUGAAGUUAAUAGCUUCACCGAUUGACGUUACCCGCAGAAGAAGCACCGGCUAACUCCGUGCCAGCAGCCGCGGUAA
rnacentral:rRNA from 1 species